GAUGUCCGGUUCUUCAAAGUUUCCUCUCUGACUGGAGCAGAAAAAAGCGAAGGCGGGGGGCAGCGCGGGUUGCGGGGGGCAGCGCGGGUUGCGUGCGCGGCAGGUGCCAGGCUCAACUUGAGGGGAGCUGGCCCCGCGCGACCACCUAACCACGACCCUCCCUCUCCCUCCGCCGCCCGGCUCAUUGCAGAGCGUUGCAAAGUUGGCGCGGGUGCUGGGGAAGUCCCGCCGCGCCCCCACGUGGCUGCCGCGCGGGGAGCUGUCCCCAGGGCCCAGGGAGGGCAGGUGACCACGCCGUGAGCCCGCAAGCCCCGUCUCCAGCUACCCCGGCCUCUGCGUCUGCCUCCCUCCCUUUCCAGGUCCGGGCGAACUGCGGCGCUCCGCCGGGACCCUCUCGUCCCUGGACCCGGCCGGGUGGCCGGCGAGUCUCGGCGCCUGUGUCUGGCGACCCGGGCCCUGCGGGAGCCGGUUGAGGCGAGAGCUCAGGUAGCUGAGGGGCCUGAUCCCUGCGCUCAGCGCUCCUGCCUUAAUCCGCCCCUGUUUCCAUGGCAACAGACCGAGGUGUCGUAAGCACAGGAUUCUGACCUCACAGUAGGAUAGGGAAGGAGAAAACGGGCAGGGGGAGGUGGCGGAGGAAUGGGAAGCGAAGCCUCAAGAUGGGCGGAGAGGAGCAGGCGUGGGGGUCACGGAGGAGACCCCACUAGCAGGUGGGACAGCAAGCUGGGUCCUGUCUUCUGGCAGGACAUUUUAGGAAUUGCGUGCGCUGCCUUGCAUCCCUUCAGGAAAGGACUCUACUGGCCACAGCCCCACCUCUGUGAACCAGAACAGCCUGAGUCGUCAGUGGAUCCUGCUGCUGACAGUGCUAGUAGCUGAAGGCUUCAGCUGCUGCCUGCCCUCUUUUCCAUCUCCUGGCCUACCCUGGCAGAACCAGGGAUAUAAAAAGCAAGCCUCUGGUCAGAGAUGAGAGGCAGGCAGAGCAAGCCAGGCCCCGAGCCACCCAGCACCAUCCAGGAAGAAAGAGCAGCCCUGUUGGGGGUUUUGCUUUGCCAGAAGUGGCCUGCUUAAGGUCAGGAUCUAUGGUUUUCAUUUUUAGAGCUAUAAAAACAGAAUGCAAAUCAACAGCCUCUGGGCUAAUAAAGAACCUGUCCUUAAAGUUUUUGUCUUGUUAAGCAAGGAAAUAGAGUGCCAAAUAGGCUUUGUUAAGUGGCAGUCUAAUUAAUAAUUUAAAAUCUUGUAGCUGUCUUUCAUUAGAAUUUAUCUGUACAUCAACCACAAAAUCAGUCAAACACACUCAUUUAUAAGUUAAUGCCAUCUUUGAAUAAUUCAGCAAGAGCUAGAUUAAGGUCUGCAGUCCAGUAAGAUGCAUUUUGUUCUUUUGGUUUCCCUAGCCAGAUGGGCUGGCCUGGUGGCUGGAUUGGGUCUCCUUUGUGUGAAGAAGGAGGGGAGGCAGAGGGAGGAAGGGACCAUGGGGUUGUCAGUGCUUCGUCCAUUUGAUCCCUGAGGUUCCCUAGGUGACCUGAGAGUCUCCAUGUGGCCAGGGGUGAGCAGGCUCCAUCUCUUGGAGCUAUCCAUAACAUGGCCCUCUUUAGCUCCGAUGGAGAGGAGAAGGGAGGAGUGUUCCACCAACAGCCAAGACACUUCUCUUUCCGCUGCAGAGGAAGUGUAGAGCGGAAAUACAAGAGCCCUGCUUGAGAGGGUUGAGAUAUGAGGCUUUUGUAUCCCAAACCCCGGUGCAGAAGUGGAAUUUCAGUCUUCCCAGCCUAAUUCUGUCCCCGCUCAGGGAAGGCAGCCUGGUGGAACCAAUGUCACCAAAACAGCUUCUAUCACUGGGAGCCUCUGGGCUGCUUCUUUCCUCAAAGUUCCUCGUCCUUGUGCCGGGAAAGAGAAGCCAGGAGGAGGAAUUUUAGGGGAGCACCGGGACACAACCAACAGAAGAAGAGAGGCAGAGCGAGUUGCUAAAUAAAGCCCAUGCAUGCAUUUUCUCAUCAGGAGCCAGAAUAAAAGCAAGGAAAGCAG